AGAAAAUAGAGUGGAGAGAGGGGUAGUUGCUUAGGGCUGGUGGGGGAGGGGAGGAAUGUUUCAGAGUUUCAGUUUUGCAAGAUGAAAGAGUUUUGGAGAUUUGUUGCACAAUAGUGUGAUGGUAUUUAAACACUACAAAACUGUACACUUAAAAAUUGUUAAGGUGGUAAAUUUCCACGUUAUAUGUAUUUUACUAUAAUUAAUUAAAAUAAAAAAACAACCCAGUAGCUUCUGAUCCUUCUUUGUCAUCUUGUGCAUAUUUGUAAUGUUUUCUCUCAUGAUUACAAGAUGGUGGGUGCCACUGUCAGGCAUCACAGCAGAAGGAGUAUGUCCAGAGAAUAAGAGAGGCCAUUCCUCUUGUUUUUUAGGGAGAAACUUUUCUCAGGAGGCCCAAGCAGACUUCCCCCUCUCAGCUCCUGUUGGCCAGAAUGUGUAUCUUGCUACAAGAGAGCUUGGAAAGCAAGGUCCGUGGUCAAAGGAACCAGACUGACACAAAGCGAAAAUCAAACAAAGCUUUAUUUUGUGCCAAGCAUCGAAAAUCAAACUGACUGGUAGGGGCCAUCUCUUACGAAGAGACGAAGACGAUGACCCCGACAAGGCCACUCCCAAGAAGGCCGCUCUGGAUGAGGCUGCUCAGGACGAGGCCACUCUGCAGAUGAGGCCACUCUGGACGAGGCUGCUCCCAGGACAAGGCUGCUCCCAGGACAAGGCCGCUGGCCAACGAGGCAGCUCCCCAGACGAGGCCACUCGAAAAGGUGACGACGACCCCAACAAGGCCACUCUGGAUGAGGCCGCUUGCUGAUGAGGCUGCUCUGGAUGAGGCCACCCCCAACGACAAAAAGGCAACGAUGACGAGGACGACAACCCUGAUGACGCAGAGACGACGACAACGAGGACGAUAGCCCUGAUGACUCAGACUCUACUCCCCAUGAUGCUGCUCCUGACGAGGCCGCUCCAGAUGAGGCCGCUGCCUACGAGGCCGCUCCCCAGACAGGGCCGCUCCCGGGAAUGAGGUUGCUCCGGCAAGGCCACUCCCUGGAUGGGGCCGCUCCCCAGAAUGGUGCCGCUCCAGUGAGGCUGCUGGCGGCAAGGCUGCUGGUGGUGAGGCUGUUGGCCGGGGCAUUGCUGCCUAUGACUACGAUGACCAGGAUGACCAUGACACUCCCAACGACCAUGAUGACCACAAUGCUCCGACUCUCCUGAAGAUCACCCUAAGGGCUAUUCCAACGGCUAUUCUAACUCCUCCUACUCAGCCUCACAGACUAACCUUUAUGUAGGUGGUUGAGCCUGGCCGCACACAGAUGGCCAAUGGGAUUUCAACUCACCACAGUAAAUAUAUGCGUGCCCCACUGAUUGGAUGUCUCCAUCAGGCCUGGCCCGCCCCUAUAUCCGGGGUUUACAACUAAGUUCCUCUGGCUAACCAGGCCCUUACACUGCCCUUAUUUUAUUGAGAGUGAAAUUAAACUUUUUUAUGUUGAUUUGUGAGAGCUUUAUAUGUAAUUGCCCAUUUGUAGUCACAUACAUCGUAAUUAUUUUCCUAGUUGUGAUACCAAAUUUCAUGUAAAAUUUUGCCUCUUACAUGCUUAAUGAUUUGAAUAGUAAUCAAAUCAAUAUUUGUGUUACAUUUUAAAAAUGUCUCCCCCCUUGGGGCGCCCGGGUGGCUCAGUGGGUUAAGGCCUCUGCUUUUGGCUCGGGUCCUGAUCCCAGGGUCCUGGGAUUGAGCCCUCUAUCGGGCUCUCUGCUUAGCGGGGAGCCUGCUUCCUCCUCCUCUCUCUCUGCCUGCCUCUCUGCCUACUUGUGGUCUCUGUCUGUCAAAUAAAUAAAUAAAAUCUUUUAAAGUCUUCCCC
ensembl:lincRNA